rnacentral:rRNA from 1 species
AUUGAACGCUGGCGGCAUGCCUUACACAUGCAAGUCGAACGGUAACAGGUCUUCGGAUGCUGACGAGUGGCGAACGGGUGAGUAAUACAUCGGAACGUGCCUAGUAGUGGGGGAUAACUACUCGAAAGAGUGGCUAAUACCGCAUGAGAUCUACGGAUGAAAGCAGGGGAUCGCGAGACCUUGUGCUACUAGAGCGGCCGAUGGCAGAUUAGGUAGUUGGUGGGAUAAAAGCUUACCACGCCGACGAUCUGUAGCUGGUCUGAGAGGACGAUCAGCCACACUGGGACUGAGACGCGGCCCAGACUCCUACGGGAGGCAGCAGUGGGGAAUUUUGGACAAUGGGCGAAAGCCUGAUCCAGCAAUGCCGCGUGCAGGAUGAAGGCCUUCGGGCUGUAAACUACUUUUGUACGGAACGAAAAGCCCUGGGUUAAUACCCUGGGGUCAUGACGGUACCGUAAGAAUAAGCACCGGCUAACUACGUGCCAGCCGCCGCCGUAA